ACCGCUGGUGUAUCUGUUGUGCCGCCAGGUGCAAUGCAGAGUAGCUAUGUACAGCAUGGAUAAACGCUGAAAGCAUCUAAGCGUGAAACCAACCUCAAGAUGAGUUUACUUUUAAGGGUUGUCAAAGACUAUGACGUUGAUAGGCUAUAGGUAUAAGGGUGGUAACAUCGAAGCCGAGUAGUACUAAUUGCCCGUAAGCUUUAUUUUUU
rnacentral:rRNA from 1 species